GCCGUUCGAGCCUCCUCACGUCGUUGCCGCUCCACCCGAGUCGGCCGCCGUCCCGCCAGCAGCCGGAGUUCCUCCUCUCCCGCGAGCUCGCGCCCUUGCUUCACCUGCGAGCUCGCGCCGCCGUCCCCGACGCUGUUGCCGUCGCUGCACUAGAUCUCCGCCAAGUCGCUGUCGCCCACCACCAUCUGCUACAAUGUAGUCCUGACGCUGACCAAUCAAGAGAGGAAGGAGAUCAGAGGAGGUCUAGACACCCAGAUUUGAGGACGAGGGUCGGGCAAGGGCUAGAUCUGGAAUCGAUCGAGCUCCGUCGCCCCCCCUCUGUCCCUGAUGUUGUCCGAGCUGCUACCUUUCGAGCGACGCCGGGGACUCCACCACCGUAGUUGCUGUUUUCACGGUCGCCGAAGCUUCAGACGCUUGUCGCCGUUGCAGCCCUCAGCCAAGCCAACGCCCAGCCCUGUUGCCGAGCCGCCUCCUCGAUGCCCGACGCCAUCUGCGCCGCUGCCCUCCGAACGCCGCUUCCUGCAGCCCGAAGCU
rnacentral:lncRNA from 1 species